rnacentral:rRNA from 1 species
GACGAACGCUGGCGGCGUGCUUAACACAUGCAAGUCGAACGGAAAGGCCCCUUUGGGGGUACUCGAGUGGCGAACGGGUGAGUAACACGUGAGUAACCUGCCCUUGACUUCGGGAUAACUUCAGGAAACUGGGGCUAAUACCGGAUAGGAAUCCUUGCUGCAUGGUGGGGGUUGGAAAGCUUCGGCGGUUUUGGAUGGACUCGCGGCUUAUCAGCUUGUUGGUGGGGUAGUGGCUUACCAAGGCUUUGACGGGUAGCCGGCCUGAGAGGGCGACCGGCCACAUUGGGACUGAGAGACGGCCCAGACUCCUACGGGAGGCAGAAGUGGGGAAUAUUGCACAAUGGGCGGAAGCCUGAUGCAGCAACGCCGCGUGCGGGAUGACGGCCUUCGGGUUGUAAACCGAUUUCAGCAGGGGCGAAGCUUGUGGUGACGGUACCUGCAGAAGAAGCACCGGCUAACUACGUG